rnacentral:rRNA from 1 species
CCUACGGGUGGCAGCAGUGAGGAAUAUUGGUCAAUGGACGGAAGUCUGAACCAGCCAUGCCGCGUGCAGGAAGACGGCCCUAUGAGUUGUAAACUGCUUUUGUACAAGGGUAAACCUGAACACGUGUAUUCUGCUGCAAGUACUGUAUGAAUAAGGAUCGGCUAACUCCGUGCCAGCAGCCGCGGUAAUACGGAGGAUCCAAGCGUUAUCCGGAUUUAUUGGGUUUAAAGGGUGCGUAGGCGGGUUGUUAAGUUAGAGGUGAAAUGUCGCGGCUUAACUCGGAAACUGCCUCUAAUACUGUUGAUCUAGAGAGUAGAUGCGGUAGGCGGAAUUUGUGGUGUAGCGGUGAAAUGCUUAGAGAUCAUACAGAACACCGAUUGCGAAGGCAGCUUACCAAUCUAUAUCUGACGUUGAGGCACGAAAGCGUGGGGAGCAAACAGGAUUAGAUACCCCUGUAGUC